ensembl:lncRNA
AUGGUGGCCUUUUCAUCUACCCAUACAGCAUUGUUAAUACUGCCUCAGAACUUAGGAUCAGAUGGAUGGAAUUCUGUGAAGCUGAAGGAGAAAAGAAACUUACCUUCACUGAGCAUCUGCUGGGUUCUGGGCUCCAUGCUGGAUAUCUUCCGUCCUCACACCCUCCUCUGCUUGGAGCUCUCUGCCUCGGUGUUCCUUCUACUCAGAAGAAGUGAAAUGAAGUCACUCAGUCAUUUCCAGCUCUUUGUGACCCCAUGGACUGUAGCCUGCCAAUAUUUUCCAGGCAAGAAUACUGGAGUGGGUUGCCAUUUCCUUCUCCAAUUCUACUCAGAAGCUGGAGGAUGUCGGUGAGGUGAAACAGAGGUCACAGACAAGAGAGGAGUGCUCUCAUCUUACAGCUGCCCUGUGUGUUUCCCAAGAACAUAAAUAUUCAUUCCCUUUGUUCAUCCUCUUGCUCUUGAGCUCUGACCCCCACCUCGCAAGAUUUUACUGACCACCAUAUUUAAUUAACUCCUGCCUGCCCCUCCCACUUACUAUCAUAUCACUCUCCUUUAUUCCCUUCACAUCUGAUAUUAUUAUCUGAUAAUAUCUUUCUCACUUUCUGAGUCACUUGAUCUUCCUCUACUUCUUACCAGAAUGUAAGCUCUGUGAAGGCAAAGCCAUUUUUGCCUGACCAUGUAUCCUCAGUGCCUAGAACAGUGGCUUGUGGUUAGUAGAUGCUCAAUAAAUAUUUGCUGAAUGAAUGGAUGAGCAAAUGAGCAAACAGUUGGAUAAAUAGAAACACUGCUCACUCAAAGUCGUGUCCUAGAGAGGUUGUAUGCUUAUUCCAGCUUAUUAAGCUUAUUAUUGCUUUCUUAAUUUCCAUUGAACAAAUUUACCUUUAGUAUCGACCUUUGGAAUCAAUUUUCAGGCCAUGUAAUAGAAAGAACUGGGCUUUUGAAUUAGACAAAAACCUUGCUUCAAGCCUAGAUUCCCCCACUUAUUAACUAUGUGACUUUGAGCAAAUCAUGUAACUUCUCUGAGCAUUUGUUUUCUCAUCUUUAAAACAGAGGUUGUAAUUCUUCCCUUAUAAGGCCAUCAUAAGGAUUAAUGCAAUAAAGCGUUUCUCCUCAACUUCACAUUAGCUUGUCCUACUUGUUCAACAAUUCUGGUCCAAAGUACUACGCACAGCUGAGAUAAAUUGGCUUACCAUGUCUUUUCCGUAUGCGGCUUGGGUAAGAAAAUACAGUAGCUUCCCCUUCAGCUCUCUUUACAUGUGGUUGGUAUAGCUGCUUCUGCACAGAACCCUGAGAGUCCUACCAGAGAAGCUUUCCUGAGAAGAUGCUGACUGUCCUAACCCCUGAUGCUUUUGCUGACCAUGCCAGUCCAUUCUGACAUGUCAUUUCUCUGAAGAACUACAGUGAAAGAUAAGAGAGCUCAAUCUAGUAUCAGCUGUGUUAUCUUGGUCUAGUUACUUCUCCUCUUUGGAUCUAAAGUAUUUUAAAUAGGAGCUCAGUUGGUAAAGAAUCCACNNNCAAGGCAGGAGACCCCGGUUCAAUUCCUGAGUCGGGAAGAUCCCCUGGAGAAGGGAUACGCUACCCACUCCAGUUUUCUUGGGCUCUUCUUGUGGCUCAGUUGGUAACAAAUCCAUCUGCAAGGUGGGAAGCCUUGUUUGAUCCCUGACUUGGGAAGACCCCUGGAGAAGGGAAAGAUUGCUGACUACAGUAUGCUGGCCUGGAGAAUUCCAUGGACUGUAUAGUCCAUGGGGUCGCNNNNNNNAGACACGACUGAGCAACUUUCACGCUUUCAGAUAAUGUAAAGUGUCUCCAAAUCUUACAUGAUAUGACUUUGUUUGGAUACUUCUAUCUGAAUUUUUGAGGGUCCUGAGGAAAGGUUGCUGAACAAUAUUAUGUCAUGGCCACAGUAUUAAGAUAUAAUGAGAGCCAGAGAGAGCAAUGCCCCCUCCCCCUCUCCCAGACUACAGAGCCACAGAAGAUGCUAGCCAGAACUCCCCAGGAAGCCACCCCAGCCAGUCUGGGCUACAGUCCUGGCCCCCUUCAUGGGGUUCAGGGAAUGAGGGGCUCACUGUCUGCCCCAGUUGGUGGAUUUCGAGUCCUAAUGGUACUCCCUCCCAACUUAGCCAGCUAAUAACAGAGGAAUAGUUGUCUCUGCACCCCUCAUCCCCAUCCAGCUAACAUUGCUGAUUAAAUUUUAUUGAUGUUUCCUACUGAAAAAAAAAAAAUGGAGCGGGGGGGCGGUGAGAGGGGGCAUGAGGGUUAGGGAAAGACAGAGAAGAGUGGGAAGGACUCUCCACUCAAGAGCAACAUAAAACAGCUGGCAAGACGGGGCAGCUGUAACACUGUGUCCUAAGGACAGACCAUGUGGGUGAGGCUGGUUAUGGCCUGACCAGUAGAUCAAACAAGGGAGUCGGGAACAUCUGAGAUGGGUCCUGAGGUGUCCUCAUUGAUCUCAUUUGGCUCAGCUAUUCUUGAAAGCCUACUGUUUCUCUCAUGCACUUAUUUCCAGCACAACAUUCUAAAAUCAGACCUUCAAGCAAUAUUAUUUGUACUGCUGAGCCCUUGGCACUGUGCAGAGCUGUGUGGCUACUGAGAGGGAUCAAAUACAGCCCCACCCAUAGAAAGUUUACAGUGCUUGAAAAUACUUCCAUUUGGCUAGAGUGACCUUGGGCAAGUUACUUAAUCUCCCUGUGUUUCGGGUUUUACAUUUAUUAAAAUAGGGACAGGAAAAUUACUUAUCUCCCGUGUUGUUGUCAGAAUUAUAUGUGUAGCUAAUAAUAUGUUGAUAGAAUAUGCAGAACUCAGAGUGUAUUCCUAAUAGCAGCUUUAUUUUUGUCUCCUAUCAAUACUUCAAAGCUAUUCAGAGAGAUAGUCUUUCCCCUGCCCUGGAUGAACAUUCUCCUUUUAGGUAAUAGUCCUUCAGUCACUUUAAUUAAUACACAUAGCCUCAAUUCAGUAAUUAAAAAUGUCCAAUCCCAAACAGUAAUCAAAACUCUGAGCUUGAUUUAAUGUCUUCUUCCUUCGUACCUCCACCUCUAGCCAAGNNNNNNNNNNNNNNNNNNNNNNNNNNNNNNNNNNNNNNNNNNNNNNNNNNNNNNNNNNNNNNNNNNNNNNNNNNNNNNNNNNNNNNNNNNNNNNNNNNNUCUAGCCAAGGUUAAAGUGGGAGAAGACUAGGUGUGUGAAGAGAACAGAAGAAUUCCACUUGCCUGACACUCUCCUAAGCUGGCUUCAGGCUCUCUGGACCAAGCAACUGAUUCCCUCUCAGGAUGGUGGUUUCCUGGGUUCCUUGGAGGUCCCUCUGCUUGAAAGAAACCAUCGCUUGAGGAAUACAUCCUGCAGCUCCCACUGUCACUAUACCCCUGAUUUCCUGCUUUUCUGGUGUUCUGCUGUAUACCUAGAUUUCACAGGAAUCAAAAUGGCAUGAAACUGAUUCUAUCCGCAUGGGUCCCACAUCUGCUGAGAAUCUUUUGCCUGGGCAAGCACGAGGCCAGUCUCAGCGCUGCUGAUUUUUCACUUUUUCCAUAGUCUCUUGCUCACUAGAUUUCUUAGGAAAGAGUCAGAACCCAAAAGUCAGCCCACUGUACCCUCCUCUCCCUAUGCAGAGAAAAGGGGAGAAAUAUACACUAAUCCCUCCUCUGGAGCCAUGGCAUGCGGGACCCCAGGCAUCAAAAUCCCCCUCACAAAACCCACUCUCUUAAAUUUUGAACCUUAUUUUCCUUUGUGUCUUUGAAGUGAGCAAAGUGUUUCAAGAGUUUCAUAGUUGGUUUCUAGAUACACACUUGGAAAUUCUAUACAAAAUCUAUGACAUUUCUUUAGGUAUUCCAAACAAGGUUUUUUCAUUUCCUGGCGCCCUAAAUGAAACAUUCGCUUGACCAUCUUUAACAGAGUGAAUGCUCAUGUUCAUAUAUUAACAUGUUAAUACCUGUUACUGUUUUCUAUAUGCUCAGUUGCUAGUGUCUGACUCUGCAACCCUAUGGACAGUAGUCCACUAGGCUCUGGAAAUUUCCAGGAAUGGAAACUAGAGUGGGUUGUCAUUUCCUUCUCCAGAGGAUCUUCCUGACACAGGGAUCUGCAUCUCCUGCAUUGGCAGAUGGAUUCUUUACCAAUGAGCUACCUGGGAAGCCCAUAUAUAUAUAUAUAUAUAUAGCCAUGUCCAACUGUUAGCAACCCCAUGGACUGUAGCCCACCAGGCUCCUGUGUCCAUGGAAUUUCCCAG